rnacentral:rRNA from 1 species
AUUGAACGCUGGCGGCAGGCUUAACACAUGCAAGUCGAGCGAGCGGCGGACGGGUGAGUAAUGUCUGGGAAACUGCCUGAUGGAGGGGGAUAACUACUGGAAACGGUAGCUAAUACCGCAUACAAUCAGAUGUGCCCAUAUGGGAUUAGCUAGUAGGUGGGGUAAUGGCUCACCUAGGCGACGAUCCCUAGCUGGUCUGAGAGGAUAACCAGCCACACUGGAACUGAUGCAGUGUCCAGACUCCUACGGGAAGCGGCAGUGGGGAAUAUUGCACAAUGGUCGCAAGCCUGGUGCAGCCAUGUGGCGUGUGUGAAGAAGGCCUUCGGGUUGUAGAGCACUUUCAGCGAGGAGGCGUUACUCGCGGAAGAAGCACCGGCUAACUCCGUGCCAGCAGCCGCGGUAAUUC